GUGCUCGCUUCGGCAGCACAUAUGCUAAAAUUGGAACGAUGCAGAGAAGAUUAGCAUGGCCCUGUGCAAGGGCGACAUGCAAAUUCACGAAGCGUUCCAUAGUUUA
rnacentral:snRNA from 1 species